GGAAGGGGUCAAUCCCACUGUUUUCAUAGUAAUCCAUUUUAACUAUGCUUUAGACCAAAGAAGAUGGGAGAGAUGAGAGAUGAUGAGGGCUUAACCAGUUUUCUACUUGGAUCAUCACAUGUCUUUUUAAAGCCAGAUACUAGCUUCAGGCACGUCUCAGGCAAGCCUCCCUCUCAUGGAAGUUCCCAGGAAGCCCACCAUGUAAGUGUCUGCACGUGU
rnacentral:lncRNA from 1 species